rnacentral:snRNA from 1 species
GGAUGUGAGGGCGAUCUGGCUGCGACAUCUGUCACCCCAUUGAUCGCCAGGGUUGAUUCGGCUGAUCUGGCUGGCUAGGCGGGUGUCCCCCUCCUCCCUCACCGAUCCAUGUGCGUCCCUCCCGAAGCUGCGCGCUCGGUCGAAGAGGACGACCUUCCCCCCCGAGGAGAGGACCGGUCUUCGGUCAAGGGUAUACGAGUAGCUGCGCUCCCCUGCUAGAACCUCCAAACAAGCUCUCAAAAGUGCAUUAGAAUUCCACGUGUCAUUUAUGUGCCAUCUUAGGAAACUGAGCGCUGAAGCCAGUUAGUGUUUUUUUUU